rnacentral:rRNA from 1 species
AUUGAACGCUGGCGGCAUGCCUUACACAUGCAAGUCGAACGGCAGCACGGGUGCUUGCACCUGGUGGCGAGUGGCGAACGGGUGAGUAAUACAUCGGAACAUGUCCUGUAGUGGGGGAUAGCCCGGCGAAAGCCGGAUUAAUACCGCAUACGAUCCACGGAUGAAAACGGGGGACCUUCGGGCCUCGCGCUAUAGGGUUGGCCGAUGGCUGAUUAGCUAGUUGGUGGGGUAAAGGCCUACCAAGGCGACGAGCAGUAGCUGGUCUGAGAGGACGACCAGCCACACUGGGACUGAGACACGGCCCAGACUCUUACGGGAGGCAGCAGUGGGGAAUUUUGGACAAUGGGCGAAAGCCUGAUCCAGCAAUGCCGCGUGUGUGAAGACGGCCUUCGGGUUGUAAAGCACUUUUGUCCGGAAAGAAAUCCUUGACUCUAAUACAGUCGGGGGAUGACGGUACCGGAAGAAUAAGCCCCGGCUAACUACGUG